GGAUAGCUGGGGCCGAGAAAAUCCGACGCAAACUGCGCCCGGAGAAGCCCUGACAACACGACAUCGGACGGGGGUUCAAUUCCCCCCAUCUCCACCA
rnacentral:tRNA from 3 species